rnacentral:rRNA from 1 species
AGAGUUUGAUCCUGGCUCAGGAUGAACGCUAGCGGUAGGCUUAACACAUGCAAGUCGAGGGGUAACAGGAGAGCUUGCUCUCGCUGACGACCGGCGCACGGGUGAGUAACACGUAUGCAACCUGCCUUUAACUGGAGCAUAGCUCCGAGAAAUCGGAAUUAAUACUCCAUAAUAUCUAUUUAUCGCAUGGUAUUUAGAUUAAAGCUUCGGCGGUUAAAGAUGGGCAUGCGGGACGUUAGCUUGUUGGUGAGGUAACGGCUCACCAAGGCAACGAUGUCUAUGGGGUCUUAAAGGAUGGUCCCACACACUGGUACUGAGACACGGACCAGACUCCUACGGGAGGCAGCAGUGAGGAAUAUUGGGCAAUGGGCGAAAGCCUGACCCAGCCAUACCGCGUGCAGGAUGACGGCCCUAUGGGUUGUAAACUGCUUUUGUACGGGAAGAAAAAACUCUACGUGUAGAGAACUGACGGUACCGUACGAAUAAGGAUCGGCUAACUCCGUGCCAGCAGCCGCGGUAAUACGGAGGAUCCAGGCGUUAUCCGGAUUUAUUAGGUUUAAAGGGUACGUAGGCGGAAGAAUAAGUCAGUGGUGAAAUCCUGCAGCUCAACUGUAGAACUGCCAUUGAAACUAUUUUUCUUGAGUAUAGUUGAGGUGGGCGGAAUGUGUCAUGUAGCGGUGAAAUGCUUAGAUAUGACACAGAACACCGAUUGCGUAGGCAGCUCACUAAACUAUCACUGACGCUGAGGUACGAAAGCGUGGGGAGCGAACAGGAUUAGAUACCCUGGUAGUCCACGCUGUAAACGAUGAUUACUCGUUGUGUGCGAUAUACAGUACGCGACUGAACGAAAGUAUUAAGUAAUCCACCUGGGGAGUACGUCGGCAACGAUGAAACUCAAAGGAAUUGACGGGGGCCCGCACAAGCGGAGGAACAUGUGGUUUAAUUCGAUGAUACGCGAGGAACCUUACCUGGACUUAAAUGCAAAACGAUCGGCGCCGAAAGGUGCUUUCCCUUCGGGGCGAAUUGCAAGGUGCUGCAUGGUUGUCGUCAGCUCGUGCCGUGAGGUGUCGGGUUAAGUCCCAUAACGAGCGCAACCCCUAUUGUUAGUUGCUAACAGAUAAUGCUGAGGACUCUAACGAAACUGCCGGUGUAAACCGUGAGGAAGGUGGGGAUGACGUCAAAUCAGCACGGCCCUUACGUCCAGGGCUACACACGUGUUACAAUGGUCGAUACAGUGGGCAGCUACUUGGCAACAAGAUGCUAAUCUCCAAAGUCGGUCUCAGUUCGGAUCGAAGUCUGCAACUCGACUUCGUGAAGUUGGAUUCGCUAGUAAUCGUAUAUCAGCAAUGAUACGGUGGAUACGUUCCCGGGCCUUGUACACACCGCCCGUCAAGCCAUGG